rnacentral:lncRNA from 1 species
GCAUAAUUUAUGUGCUCACGCAUCUCCUACAUUCAGAGGCAUAUUCCCUUACAACAUUCACCCCUCAUUCGUUCAGUCCCCUUUUCGACUCCUAUUUCUUCUACCACUCUCUGAGCCAUAUCUUGUCAUCCUCGUCGUCCUCCUCUCGAACCAGGACAAGAUCGCGGUGCACAGACGACGCUCGAGAUGGGCGUCCACAUAAUACUGCCAAUGGAAGCAAUUAAGACGUACUCUACGAUCCCGACGAACGACGACGCC